rnacentral:tRNA from 1 species
AGGGAAGUAGCUCAACGGAAGAGCAUUGGGUUCAAGCCUCAGUGCAGCAAAAAAGGUAAAUACAGUUUCUUUCCUG